CUUCCGCCGGCGACCGGCGCACGGGUGAGUAACACGUAUGCAACCUGCCCCUGUCAGGGGGACAACCCGCCGAAAGGCGGGCUAAACCCGCGUACAUGCCACCAGGGCAUCCCGGAGGCAGGAAAGGCUUCGGCCGGACAGGGAUGGGCAUGCGGCGCAUUAGGCAGUAGGCGGGGUAACGGCCCACCUAACCGACGAUGCGUAGGGGUUCUGAGAGGAAGGUCCCCCACACUGGUACUGAGACACGGACCAGACUCCUACGGGAGGCAGCAG
rnacentral:rRNA from 1 species